rnacentral:tRNA from 1 species
GCAUCCGGUGUCAGCGGUUUAGAGCGGCCGCCUGCAGAGCGGCAGGUCACGUGUUCAAAUCACGUUGGGGACU